GAAAGUCGAUGCAAUAGAUUUGAUCAUCUACACGAUAGCUUUGUUCAUUCCUCGAUCGUCUUCCUCCUCCAACUCCAAACUCCCCUCUAACCACCUGGAUUCUUACACCGAUAAUACCAAGGUCACUAGUAUCCCUUUUUGGUUUGAGUUCUCGUUCUUGUUUGCUGCUUUUCGAGGAGAGUUCGUGACUUGUACGACGCGUUCGUGAAUGAGUUAGAUCGAGGGAUUAACGUAAAGAAUGGUUCUUUAAAGUUAGAGUCCACUACUCAUGGGUUCUCACCCCGAGAAUAACAAGGUUUCCAUUGUGGUUGUGUCUGGGUUUUGUUCGAGGUUAUCUUGAAUAAGAUCUUCAAGAAGUUGGUGAUUUUGGAGGGAGAAUCGUGAAGAAAAGGUUCUACAAAGAUCUUCAAGAAUCCCUCGAACUGGAAAUGGACACUAUCACGAUGGCGACCUUGGUAUCCUCAGGAUGAUGAAAGAGAUUCUCUCAUAUCAAAUGCCCAUAAAAAAAACCACCCACUUAUGUGGGUGGAGAAAAAGAGCUCUCUCUCUCUCUCUCUAUAUAUAUAUAUAACAAC